rnacentral:rRNA from 1 species
GGCCGCAGUAUUCUGACUGUGCAAAGGUAGCAUAAUCAUUAGGUUUUUAAUUGGAAUCUUGUAUGAAUGAUUGGACAAGAGAAAUACUGUCUUUGUAUUAAAACUUGAAUUUAACUUUUAAGUGAAAAGGCUUAAAUACACUAAAGGGACGAUAAGACCCUAUAAAACUUUACAUUUAUGUUAAAUUUUAUGGAAUUUGAAGAUUAUAAUUAUUAAAUUUAAUUUUUUGUUAUGUUGGGGAGACAAAAGCUAUAAUUAUAUAUAACUGCUUUUAAGGGAAACAAAAAUAAGUGAGGAAGGUCAGAGAUCCUUUAUUGAGAUUAUAAGAUUAAGUUACUUUAGGGAUAACAGCGUUAUUUUUUUUGAGAGUUCAUAUUGAAAAAAAAGAUUGCGACCUCGAUGUUGAAUUAAAAUAUCUUUAUAAUGCAGGUGUUAUAAAAGAAGGUCUGUUCGACCUUUAAUUUUUUACGUGAUCU